GAGGAGCUUGGUGAGGCUGGACGUGGCUUUGCUGCAGCACAGUGAGUAUAAUCAGCACCUGCUCUGAUACCCAGACCUUCCCAGCAGAUCUACGCUACUCACAAAAAGUCAGGGAUAUUUGGCUUUCGGGGGAAAUUUCUGGAUGAACCUAAAAUCCACUAUAACAUUUACAGGUGAACUUAAUGUUACCUUCUCUAAACUUCUGAGUGGUCCUGUCCAACAGUUCAGCGUUUCAGUACUUUCUGCACAACUCGCUGUUCUCUAACAAGGAGCUUAACGGCAAAAUUCACAACAGGUGUUUGAUCCAUGAACCGACCAAUACAUUUCCUGGGUUAGAAUUGGUAUUUAAACAGUCCUCCUCAUCACGCUGUUGACAUUUUGACACCAUGAGACCAAGAUGACACCUAACAACUGAUCAACAGUACUUCGCCAUUGAGAGGCUUCAAAAAGGAUGUUCUCAGACAGAAGUGGCCGCUGAGCUUAGAGUGUCACAGAGUGUCACCAGCAGGCUGCAACAGAGAGACUGGAAGAGUCACAGAAAGGCGUAGAAGUGGACGUCCAUUGGCCACAUCCCACCAGACGAGCCUUUGGUGGUGCUGGUGGUGUUACAGUGUGGGCAGGCCUAAUUUCAUCUUCAUGGACAACGAUGCUUCAGCUCAUUAGGGAACGGCUGUUGGAGACCAGUGUACCUCAGAUGGAGUGACCGGCACUUUCAGACCUGAAGUCUAUAGAAAACCUAUAGGAUCAGCUGAGUCGCCGUGUUGAGGCUCCUAACUUUGUGCCCCAGAGCCUCAGUGACCUUACUGAGACACUGACAUGUGUUGUUGUGGUAUCUCCACCACUGCUGUUGGCUUUCGUUUCAAUAAAUUGUUUGAGAUGAGGAAGU